rfam:Pichia kudriavzevii strain SD108 scaffold00087, whole genome shotgun sequence.
UCCCUGUUAGCUCAGUCGGUAGAGCGUUCGGCUUUUAAGAUCUUCCAAGAAGUCGACCGAAAUGUCCAGGGUUCGAGCCCCUGAUAGGGAG